AUUGAACGCUGGCGGCAUGCCUAACACAUGCAAGUCGAACGGCAGCACGGGUGCUUGACCCUGGUGGCGAGUGGCGAACGGGUGAGUGACACAUCGGAACAUGUCACGUAGUGGGGGUUAGGCCGACGAAAGGCGGAUUAAUACAAAUUACGAUUAAUACCUGAAAGUGUGAGACUGUCGGCUCCCGCACUUUCGCGAUAGAAUAUGGCUGAUUUGCAUGCUGGUGGGGUAUAGGCCUACGAAGGCGACGGUGAGUAGCCGGUCUGAGAGCGCGACCAGCCACACGGGGAGUGAGACACGGCCCAGACUCCUACGGGAGGCAACAGUGGGGAAUAUUGGACAAUGGGCGAAAGCCUGAUACAGCAAUGCCGCGUGAGUGAAGAAGGCGUUCGGGUUGUAAAGCGCUUUUGUACGGAAGGAAAUCCAUCGCUAUAAUACGGUCGGGUGAUGACGGUACCGGAAGAAUAAGCACCGGCUAACUACGUG
rnacentral:rRNA from 1 species